GUUUAACGGCGCUACUUUCCGAUAUUGAUUCAUUCACAGAAGAAGGACGAAUAAACCCAGGUUCAGGAUUGCCAAGCAAUGAUCCGUGCUCGUCUGCUGCGAGAGAAUGCGGGGUCAUUGCUUCAAUAAUGAGGAACCUGGAUACUUCGAGACACAAAAACGAGCCCACCCAGAAUCCUAAUUCCACCGUUAUGUUGUUGGAUUUGAUAAAGGAUCGUCAUGACGAAGGUACCGUUUCCACUGACGCUGCGCAUCAAGUCUAUGUUGCAACGGGGUAUAGAGCUGGCCUCACUUAACACUUUCGUCACCUAGAGCGAAUCGGUCGAGUUUUGGGGGCCCAAAUUCGACUCUCGGUGCGCUAGGGAAAUAAGCGGGAAACGAUAAUAAUGA